CCAAGUCUGUAACUGAGCGGUCAUCUCCAGGAUUCAUUAAAUCGGUUUGCACGUGUUGUGACUGUUAUCAAGCGUCAUGUUGUCAAGCAUCUGAUUGUGUCAAACUGAACCUAAAGCCCGAUUCUGCCGCCUGGUGGAGCGGAUGAAAAACUACACUUCAGUUUUUACCUUACAAAUCACAGUUUAUUGCCUAUGGACUCAAAGUUGCUUCAGAGAUUGGGUCACUGUCCAUAUGACAAAACACAUGCGUUAACAUUUUCAUACUGAAGAAAAAACAAAUGUCUCUUCUUAUUUGGUUAAAUGUGUGUAAGGCAGGUGACAAACAGCUGAUCAUCAGCUCCCUCUUGUGGUCAAUAAGUUUAUCCGCGUUAUUCACUGAAACUACAAACCCAAGAUGGCAAAUCGUAGAAUCAAGCUGCAUUUAUAGUAAAUCUUGACUGGAUCUUCCUCACAUUGCUCUGUGAUGGACUGGGUGUGUUCCUGCUUUAGGUCUGAGACUCUGGGACAGACUCCAGCAUCCCCUCAUAGGGUCCUACAGGAGAAGCGGUUUGGAGAAUGGAUGGAUAACAGGCAUGAGACCAGAUCAAUGUGCUAAUGUGCUGCUCUCCCUUGUGGACAAUAAGUGUAUCUGCAUUAAGACAUGAAAGCAGCAGGAGGAAAGAGAUCAUCUAAUCCUGCUCCUGGUGAGCCACUGUCCCGAUUUUAGCUCCAAUCCUGAUGAAAAACAGCUGAAGCAGCUAAUCAAGGUCUUCGGGAUUCAAAGAAACGUUCAGGCAGAUGUGUUGGACUCAUUUGUUUUGCACAAAAAGUGGCUUGGGUUCAAAUCCCACAAUUGUUGAAAACGUUUUAGCUAUUUUAUCGUAUUUUCAUCUAAAACACUACAAAAGCUGUCACCAUACUGUGGUGCAGGAGAUAAAGCGUUGUCUGUGAAUCGUGGAGUCCCGAGUUCAAAUCCACUUUUGCUUACAUUCAGCUGUUGUUACUGUGUCCAGAAAAACACCACUUAAAUGCUCUUAAAAAUGACUUAGCUCAAGUUUUUAGUUAUUUAUUCAUUUAAUUAUUUUUAAUCACAUAAACCAAAGCUCUCAAUAAAACCCGUCCAAAACAACCUGUAACUCACUUGUUCCAGUGGCUCAGGAUGCAGAGUGUUGUGUUGAGAUCGUGGCGUCCUGAGUUCAAGCCCCACUAUUGCUUACAUUAAAGCUCAUGUAUUGCAUUAUAUCCAACAAAGUGGUGCAAACGCAAGCUUGCAAUGUGAAAGCAAGUGUGGCACUAAUGGCUAAACACACAUUACAUACGAUCAGAACUGCGGUGGUGCUGUGGGUUCAAACCCCAACUCAAUGGGUUUGAAAUUUAACUGGCUUAUUGUAAAAUGACCGAGAGAAUAGUGAAAUAUAAGUUCCUGGACAUAUUCAAACAAGAGAUCUGUGGCUCAGUGGUAAGAGUGCUGCCUCAUGGUUUCAGAGGUUGCUGGUUCAAGUCCAGCCAGAUCUCCGCGAUAUGAGUGAAUGGUCUGGUGUGAGU
rnacentral:lncRNA from 1 species